rnacentral:rRNA from 1 species
UCUUUAAGAUUAUAAUUUAAAGUCUGAUCUGCUCAAUGAUUUAUUAAAUAGCUGCAGAAUUUUAACUGUACAAAGGUAGCAUAAUCAAUAGUUUUUUAAUUGAAAGCUGGAAUGAAAGAUUUGAUAAGAUAAUUAUUGUCUCAAUUUUAAUAAGAUUAGAAUUUUUUUUUUAGUAAAAAUACUAAAAAAAAUUUAAAAGACGAGAAGACCCUAUAGAUUUUUAUAUUUUAAAGUUUAAUAAAUUAAAAUUAAAAAAAAAAUGUUAGAAUUUAAAAUAUUUGGUUGGGGUAAUUAUUAAAUUAGGAAAAUUUUAAUUAUAAUAAAACAAAAAUUAUUGAAUUUUUGAUCUUAUUUAUAAAUUAAUAGAAUAAAAUACCUUAGGGAUAACAGCGUAAUUUUUUUAGAGAGACCUUAUUAAUAAAAGAGUUUGCGACCUCGAUGUUGAAUUAAGAAAAAAUUUUAAUGAAGAAGUUAAAAAUUUUUGGUCKGUUCGACCAUUAAAAUCUUACGUG